CCGUACCGCUUGAUUCGCUUGC
rnacentral:siRNA from 1 species